rnacentral:lncRNA from 1 species
AGAAGUCCUGACCAGAGGCUCCGAUGGAAACAGAGGUCUAAGAAUGGUUUAGUCUUGCCCCUCCUUGCUCUGGAGAAAGGACCUAGACUCCUGCAGUGGAUGCACAGCAUUAUAAUGAGGAAAAUACAGGCUGCCGCGGAGUCCAGGCUGCCAUUCUGUCCUGAUGCCCUGAACUGGACCCUGGCUGCCGACCAAAAGCAAGACUCACCGACACCACAGUGAAGGCCGUGUUGACGAUACCCGAGCCGAUGGUGGCAUACACAGGCUGCUGCACACCUGCCUUCUCGAAGAUGCUCGUUGAGUAGUAGAACACCUGCCAGAAAGGGAGAUCAUUGGAGAUCCUUCAUGCUUAUGGCCCUCUCCUUCCUCUGUACUAGUUACUAGUAGGUAUGGGACCCAAGGUGAGUGUGUGUGUGUGU